ACGACCUUACUUGAACAGGAUCUGUUCUAUAGGCUCGUACCGUUGCAUCCUUUACCAGUAAGGAGGCAAGCACUCAAGUCUGGUUGAUGAGUCCAUGACCUCUGGGCCAGAGCGUGAUUAUCGGCUUGGAUGGAUCUUCUGGCAAGAACCAUCUGACGGCUGUAGAGGAUCGUUCCUGACUGGUGGUACCAGUGCAGGGUGGCCCAGAGGUGGUCUGACAGACC
rfam:Oryza glumipatula chromosome 11, whole genome shotgun sequence.